UAAACUUUUGCUAAUUUCAUUAACAACAGUUAACAAUUUAAACCAAAUAAUCAUAGCUACUAACAUCUGAAGUUUGAGAUUUAAUUGCAUAUACAUUAUUCACAUGACUUUCCCAACGUGUUUGUGACAAUAGUUUAAUAGUUAAACCUUUCACGUUGUCUCUAAGAAUUUUCCAACAUUUUUUCAAAUGAGAAAAUACAGUAUAAAUAUGUUGUAACACUCCAAAAAAA
rnacentral:lncRNA from 1 species